AAAACCUUAAGGUAUCCCAGAAGUUACUGGAAGUGAAGAAGAGGGUUAGCCUUCAAGGAUGAAUUUCAAUAAGCAGUUCAAAAGUAAAGAUUUGAUAAUGUUAAAAACUUUCCCAGAUACACCAUAUGAAGCAAGCUUAUCAUCAGCAAAAUGAGCCAUUAAGCUACUUUAGUGGUAAGAUUGUCAAGACGAUCAAUACAUAAAUAUGGAAAAAAACUUCAUUUUGUGUGUUGAGCAAGUAACCAAUAGAAACAAUAUUGGGAGAUGACGAGAAAGAGUUAAAAAAGUACUAUCAAUGGGAAUAUUAUGGUGGCCACCUGUUUGCAAUUUAACAUAUUUAAUGUAAAUG
rnacentral:lncRNA from 1 species